rnacentral:rRNA from 1 species
GAUGAACGCUGGGGGCGUGCCUAAUACAUGCAAGUAGAACGCUGAAGCUUGGUGCUUGCACCGAGCGGAUGAGUUGCGAACGGGUGAGUAACGCGUAGGUAACCUGCCUCUUAGCGGGGGAUAACUAUUGGAAACGAUAGCUAAUACCGCAUAAAAGUCGAUAUCGCAUGAUAUUGAUUUGAAAGGUGCAAAUGCAUCACUAAGAGAUGGACCUGCGUUGUAUUAGCUAGUUGGUGAGGUAACGGCUCACCAAGGCGACGAUACAUAGCCGACCUGAGAGGGUGAUCGGCCACACUGGGACUGAGACACGGCCCAGACUCCUACGGGAGGCAGCAGUAGGGAAUCUUCGGCAAUGGGGGCAACCCUGACCGAGCAACGCCGCGUGAGUGAAGAAGGUUUUCGGAUCGUAAAGCUCUGUUGUAAGAGAAGAACGAGUGUGAGAGUGGAAAGUUCACACUGUGACGGUAACUUACCAGAAAGGGACGGCUAACUACGUG